rnacentral:rRNA from 1 species
AGUGAACGCUGGCGGUAGGCCUAACACAUGCAAGUCGAACGGCAGCACAGUAAGAGCUUGCUCUUACGGGUGGCGAGUGGCGGACGGGUGAGGAAUACAUCGGAAUCUACUUUUUCGUGGGGGAUAGCGUAGGGAAACUUACGCUAAUACCGCAUACGACCUACGGGUGAAAGCAGGGGAUCUUCGGACCUUGCGCGAUUGAAUGAGCCGAUGUCGGAUUAGCUAGUUGGCGGGGUAAAGGCCCACCAAGGCGACGAUCCGUGGCUGGUCUGAGAGGAUGAUCAGCCACACUGGAACUGAGACACGGUCCAGGCUCCUACGGGAGGCAGCAGUGGGGAAUAUUGGACAAUGGGCGCAAGCCUGAUCCAGCCAUACCGCGUGGGUGAAGAAGGCCUUCGGGUUGUAAAGCCCUUUUGUUGGGAAAGAAAAGCAGCAGGUUAAUACCCCGCUGUUCUGACGGUACCCAAAGAAUAAGCACCGGCUAACUUCGUG